AUUGAACGCUGGCGGCAGGCCUAACACAUGCAAGUCGACCUUAGUGGCGGACGGGUGAGUAACACGUGGGAACCUACCCAUCAGAGGGGGAUAACUACUGGAAACGGGCGCUAAUACCGCAUACUAUCAGAUGAGCCUAGGUCGGAUUAGCUAGUUGGUGGGGUAAAGGCCUACCAAGGCGACGAUCCGUAACUGGUCUGAGAGGAGGAUCAGUCACACUGGAACUGAUACACGGUCCAGACUCCUACGGGAGGCAGCAGUGGGGAAUAUUGGACAAUGGGCGAAAGCCUGAUCCAGCCAUGCCGCGUGUGUGAAGAAGGUCUUCGGAUUGUAAAGCACUUUAAGUAGGGAGGCGUUACCAACAGAAUAAGCACCGGCUAACUACGUGCCAGCAGCCGCGGUAAUAC
rnacentral:rRNA from 1 species